AAAAAAGGCUUCUGUCAUGAUUGGAACAUGUAGGGCAACUCUCUUCCUUAUGCAAAAUCCACAUCAAGAGAUUUUGGAAGCAUAAUAUUUUGGUAGGUGAGUAGCUG
rnacentral:snRNA from 1 species